rnacentral:rRNA from 1 species
AGCGAACGCUGGCGGCAGGCCUAACACAUGCAAGUCGAACGGACCCUUCGGGGUUAGUGGCGGACGGGUGAGUAACACGUGGGAACGUGCCUUUCGGUUCGGAAUAGCUCCUGGAAACGGGUGGUAAUGCCGAACGUGCCUUCGGGGGAAAGAUUUAUCGCCUUUAGAGCGGCCCGCGUCUGAUUAGCUAGUUGGUGCGGUAAGGGCUCACCAAGGCGACGAUCAGUAGCUGGUCUGAGAGGAUGACCAGCCACACUGGGACUGAGACACGGCCCAGACUCCUACGGGAGGCAGCAGUGGGUAAUCUUGCGCAAUGUGCGAAAGCCUGACGCAGCCAUGCCGCGUGAAUGAUGAAGGUCUUAGGAUUGUAAAAUUCUUUCACCGGGGACGAUAAUGACGGUACCCGGAGAAGAAGCCCCGGCUAACUUCGUGCCAGCAGCCGCCGUAA